rnacentral:lncRNA from 1 species
AAACGAGGUACUAAGACUAUAUCCACCUUUGACUCUUCUGUAUCGACGUACUCUAAAGGAAACAAGUAUUCGAGGAAUGUCCAUUCCAGCUGGGGUAGACCUCCUGUUACCAUUCUUGUUUCUUCACUAUGAUCCUGAGUAUUGGGGAGAUAACGCAGAAGAAUUCAAACCAGAGAGAUUCUCUGAAGGAGUUUCGAAAGCAUCAAAGGAUGAAAUUGCAUUUUACCCUUUUGGUUGGGGCCCUAGAUUUUGUCUAGGCCAAAACUUUGCCUUGACUGAAGCAAAGAUGGGUCUUACUAUGAUUCUACAAAAUUUCUGGUUUGAGCUUUCACCCUCUUACACGCAUGCUCCUUUUAAUGUCAUAACUCUUCAACCACAACAUGGAGCUCCUAUUAUACUACACCAAUUAUAAGGUUUACAUAGUAGUUUAGUAUCUUAUGAAGGGAAGCAACUCAGUUGAAUGAGUCACAGCAGGUUGUCCCAAUGUUUUGUUGUCAACCAGGAACAAGUUGGUGCAGUGGAGAGUGUUGUUUCUAUGCAUAAUGUUGCCAUCUGCUAUUGUAUUAAAGUGAUUAUUCCCUUUUCUUUCUUGUGGUUCUGAUGAUUGUCAUAGUAUGUUCUUAUGAAAGCACCACCUAAUGGAGAAAGAUGCUUAUUUCCUUCAAUCUUUCAUUGUUCUCUGCUGCUUUCUCAUCUUCCAUUAAAGGGAGAAAGUACAAGUAACUCCUGGAACUUGUCCUCUCCGUUUUGUACCCUGUAAAAUAGAUAGAUACAUCCCAAAGAUUUGACCUUUUAUAACUAUGACUUGUUAUCUUAAGACUCGAAUUAAAAUGGAGAUUUUUAAGGACCUCCAUUGUUCACAAGGUGGAACUCUGUUUUGGGUAUCCUCUGUUUUUUUUAUGUAGCCAUGAUUGCUGUAAUUUAACCUCUUCAAUAGUUUAAUUGUCUCUGAUUUUUUAACUUUUUAGAAUUGAUACAAAUUAAAUCUCUAAACUUUAUAUUUUUUUAAUAGAAUCCUUGAUUGAAUCGAUAAACUAUUAAAAGUUAAAUUAAAUUUUUAAAUGUAAUUAAUUCUUACUAUUUAUAUCAAAUUAACUUUUAAACUUUUUUUUUCAAUUAAGUUUUUAAUUAAACCUAUUAAAAGUUUCAUAAAAUAUUUAAAUUUAAUUAAUUCUUCUAAUAUUGGUUAUGUUGGAUUUUAGCCUCCAUUUUCUCUUCAUUUUCUUUCUUGUAAGUCUUUCUUUAGCUCAUCGAAUCAAAAUAUCAGUCUAGUUAUUUUGAUUUGUUGCAGCUUGAGGAUUUAUCUCUUUGUGUUUCGAAAAUAUUUUUUUAUUUUAAAUUUUGUAAAUUUUUUGUUUUGAAUAAAAAAGAAAAUGUAUUCUUUAUAAAACAAUUUUUUGGAGAUCCAAAAUUGAGUUAUGACAUCAUUAUGCAAUUUUUACUCUAAAAUAAAGAAAAUUAAAAAUUAAAAAAAUUGAAAGUUCAAGGCUUUGAUCCUAAUUAUAAAAUCUAAACUAGUUCGAAAGGUUUGCCCGAGACUUCGUUAACCCGGACUAGAUUGGGUUAAAAAUACAAAAGUGAGUUAGUUUGACCUGGUGAAAAACAUAGGUUGACUUGAUGUAAAACCCAAUCUACCUGGUCCUCAACUUAUUGAUGUUUUUUUUUUUUUUAAAGAAUCAAAACAAUAAUAUUUUAGUUAUUUUUUAAAAAUUGAAUCAAUCUAAUUUGACCUUUCCAGUCUAUGACUAGAACUUUGCUCCCAUUUAAAUUUUAGAACUAUGACUUAAUACCUGAUUGGGUAUUUGAGAGUAUGGUAACCGUAUUUUUUUAAAGUGUUUUUUUAUCUAGAAAUACAUUAAAUUUUUAUUUUAAAAAAAUUAUUUUUAACAUUAAAACGAUAUGAAAAAAAAAGACCAAUAAUUUGAAGAAAUAAAAAAAUUUAAUUUUUUAAAACAUAAAUUUUGUUUCUAAUGGAUCUUCACUGUCGAUUUGAACAGUGAAGGUGCGCAAGGAACUGAAUUUUGGACGUAGUCGGAAGGUUGGGUGAGCAGAUCGGAGAAUGGAUGGAUUCAAAUUACAAAGCUGAUGUGAGCAGCUCGGCCAAUAGCACGUGGUGGGCUCAUUUUACUGAACAAGAAGAGAUCCCUGUCCCUGCCAUGCGAUUUUUCCUUCCCGCCUGUGGUCCUCUUGCAAGUGGAUUGUAUUCCACUAGGGGUGUGCCGCGUGUUUGUGUGUGAGAGGGGAAGAUUCCGGUGACUAUUCCAAGUGGAAAAUAUGUCUAUGAUAAAUCAAUAUAUACCACUUAUGUUUUUUUCAUAAAUGAAAAAAAAAAUAUUUAAAAGAUAUUUGAAAUCAUAUUUGUCGCAGGGCAUGCUAACACGGCGUCGUGUGUUGGAAAGUAUUUUGGAUUUAAUCAUAAAAUUAUGGUUAAUGUUUAGGAGUCGUCACCGAGUAUUACGGUCACUAGAAACCUAUAGUCUGCGAGAGUCUGGGUAAAGUACUGGUUGUGCAAGGGGAAGACGCAUCACCCUCAGUACAACCUAAGGUAAGCUGCAUUAUUGUUUGAUUGUUUUUUUUUCUAAGUCAGGUUGGUCAUUUCUAAGGUUCAUGGCAAAUCUCUUUUCAUGAGAGAGUCUCUACCUAUUCGGUUACAUCCUAACCGUUCUAAAGUCUAUAUUUUUACACUUUGUAUCUUUAAUACCUGAGGGUGUACUUUAUCGUGUAAUUUUACACCUCACAAAUAUUAAAGUCUACAUCUGGAUCCUAAAAAAAAAGAUUAAAAAAAAAAAAAUUUUGACAUGUUGGUCAAAUCCUAAUGGAUAAUCAUAAACUGGUUAUAAUUUCUUUUUCUUUUUUAUGAAAAAUAUGCUUGGAAAAAUUUUAGGAUUUGGCCGUAUGCAACAAAAUAUUUUUUUCUUUUGAAUUUUUUUUUUUUGGAGAAAACCAGGUAUUUUAAUACCGGAUUUGUAUCUUACAAUGUAAGUAUACAAUCCAAUAUUUAAAAAAAUUGAUAAAAAAAUAUUUGAGAAAAUUUCAAAUUUUUUGAAAGGAUUUUUGUAAUUUUUUAAUUUAAUUAAUUUUUAUUUUUUAAUUAUAUAUUAAGUAAUUAAAUAUAUCAAAGCAUAUGGGCUGGGCCCAACACAGGCCCAGAAACAAGUGUAUUGAUUAUAGGAACAAAAUGAUUGGGUCGGCCUCGACCCAACAUAUUUUCUUCCUGCAUUUUAGGGACGGGCUGGACUCGGCCCAGCCAACUAGGCUAGGCUAAAGCAGGUCCAACCCAUAGCAGCUUAGUCACUAGGCAGCCUAGUGACUAAGUUGUAGGAACAGUGCAACGUGAAUUAUAAUUCACGUUGCAUUGUUCACGUGCAGCGAUGGAGGUGAAGAGAAGAAGAAGAAGAAGAAGAGAGGAGGGAGACUCACCUGGCGCUGAAGGAGCUGACGGCCUGACUGGUGGUGGUGAGGCUGGCGGCCGGCUGUGGCCGCAGCUGGAAGAAGAAGAAGAAGACGCCUACAAUGGAGAAGGGAAGCUCACAGUUGCAACUGUUGGAGCGGUUGAGGAGAGAUCUAAUAUCCUGGCGAUCUUUGGGAAAGGCAGAAGCUCUGGUCGUGGUGGUUGCUACGGCUGCUGGGGCCACGAUGGCAGAGAAGAAGCGUUUUAUAGAGGAGAGAGAGAGAAGUGGUGCAACAACUUCACAUGAUGUUUUGACAGCUGCUUGAGGUGAAGAUGACGGUGAGAAGACGAGUGAUGAUGGUGGUGGUGGCUGAAGGCCACGGUGGAGAGAGAAAGAAGAGAAAGGGCUGGUUGCAGGAAAAACGGGGCAGGGAAGGAUGGUUUUCGGCCAACUUUGGGUUCAAUUUUCUUCUCCCUCAGGCCAUCAAAUCCGUCUCUAUUUAUAGGCGGUGGAAGAGGGCAAUCUUGUCUAAAUUGGGGAAAAUUUCAACCCUUGAUUCGGUUGGGAAGGAUCCCAACCGUUGGCUCAAAGUGAGCAUCAUGAGUUGUUCAAUUCGCAGAUAAAGGCUUCCCGAGUUGGCCUGUUUAGGCCGACGCCGGCACCGUCUCGUUGACAUUUAGACUGUAAUGCUCAGUUGGGGUUGUAAAGAAACUGUGGGGGAUCAUUUGCGUGCACGUUUUGUUAGAUUUGAUGGAGAAAAGAAGCAUUAAAUGCGCCUGAAAAGUAGCCGCUUGGGUAGCAUUCACAGGUGAAAUCGGGGAAGAUAAUGAACAGUACCAGACGACGUGUUGCCUGGUUUUUUUUUUUUUACACAAAACGGCGCCGUUUUGGAUUGAAUUUGGGAGUUUAGCUUAUUUUAAAUUUAGUCCUUCAGCUUUCAAUUGACUUCAAUUGAACCCUAAUAACCUUUUACAACACGGUACUUGGUCUCGGAUUUUGUUAAUUUAACCCCUAAUUUACCAUUAAACUUUCAAUUUCACCCCCGAUUUUUAUCAAUUUCACCCUUAAAGGUUAGUGCUUGUUACGGAUUGGUCCAUGAUCUCGGAUUUUUUCAAUUUAACCCCUAAUUGACCCCAAAACUUCAAUCUUCUUGCAAUUUGGCCCCCAAUUUCAAUCAAUUAACUUGGUAAAUAUUAAAUUUGGUCUUUUAAAAUUCCAAUCUUCUCAAUUAAGCUCCCAAACUUAAUGUUUCACCAAUUAAGCCUAAAAUAAAAUUAAUUUGACCCCUUUAAAGUAUAAUUAAGUCCUUGCACUUACUUAAAUCCUUCAAUUGGACCCAAAUUAAUUCUUAAACAUAAUUAAAAUUUAAUUUGGCCUAUGAUUAAAUCAAAUUGGCCUAUUAAAAAUUUAAUUAUCUCAUUGGACUUAAUGUUUCACCAAUUAAGCCCAAAAUAAAAUUAAUUUGACCCAUUUAAAGUAUAAUUAAGUCCUUACACUUAAUUAAAUCCUUCAAUUGGAUCCAAAUUAAUUCCUAAACAUAAUUAAAAUUCAAUUUGGCCCAUGAUUAAAUCAAAUUGGCUUAUUAAAAAUUUAAUUAUGUCCUUGGAUUUAAUUUUUAUGCAAAUCCAUCCAAUAAUCAUUUAAUUUGACCUUCAAUUUGCAUUUUUUUUUUGGGCAUAAUGGGGUACAAUUAGGCCUUGAAUCUCCUCCAAAAAAUUACAGCUUGAUUCCCCGGCCUACUUUCUCUAUAUUGCCAGUCUUUAUUUUAUUUUUUAUUUUUAUUUUGAAAAACAAGUUAUUUUUGGAGAAUAAACCAGAAUUGGUUUAUGACAAUAUUAAUUAAUUUAUUAACUAGAAGAAAUAUAAAUACCUCAUGCAUUUUUUAUAUAAACAGUGAAACACCUCUUCUUCUAUUUCUUUUUUUAAAAUUUUUAAAUCUUUUCUUUUGAUAGACUCUUCUACAAUUAAAUUUGUUAAAAUUAUAUUCUUUGUUCUUUCCCCCCUUCAAUUUAGCCCUUUUUUUCAUUUUUUUUAUUUUUUCUCAAUUUCAUCAUUAGAUUUUUAUUUUAUUUUUUACAAUUAUCUAGCAUGGUUUUGGACUAAUCAAGUUAAUUAGAUCAUAUCGAUACAACUUUUACAUGAUUUAAUUUUAAACACGAGCCUAACAAGGAGUCGAGUGGAGAGCUUUUUCUUUUAAUUUCAUUGGUUUUUUUUCUAAAAACUUUUCUCAAACUUUUUUUAUUUAUCAGGUGAGUUGUUUUUGGAUCGAAGAAGCAGAUUAGGUCAUGCUAAAAAACUAUCAUAUUAUUUAAUUUUAAAUCCGGGUUAGACAUAAAAUUGGAUCGAAAUGCUUAUUUCCUUCAAUCUGUUAUUGUUCUCUGCUGCUUUCUCAUCUUCCAUUCAAGGGAGAGUGAAAAUAACUUCUGGAACUUGUCCUUUCCUUUUUGUACCCAGUAAAAUAGAUAGAUACAUCCCAAAGAUUUGGCUUUUUAUUACUAUGACUUAUUAUCUAAAGACUAAAAAAAAAAGGAGUUUUUUAUGGACCUUCACUGUUUAUAAGGUGCGUGAAGAACUCUGUUCUUGGUGUCCUCUGUUUGUUUUUUUAGCCAUGAUUGCAAUAAUUUAACCUCUUCAAGUUUUAAUUCUCUCUUAUUUUUUAACCUUUUAGAAUUGAUAAAAAUUAUAACACAAAUAAUUAUAUUUAAAAACUUAAAAUUAAAAAAACCUUGGAUCCUAACACAAAACUUAUUAGGCUUGGUCCUAUGUUAGAAUCCAAGAGAUUGGAUCCUAACAAAAGACCAAUAGUAUUGGGUUAGGCAAUGUUGUAGACCCAAGAAAUUUGGGUUUGCGUCCUAGCUAUACCUAAACUCCCUUGGACAUCGCCUUCUUUUUCUGCCUCAAGUUUCUUGAAUCUGGAAGAGAAUAUCUGACCCAAAAGAAACGAAAAAAAAUGAAAUCAAAUUACUGAUGGGUCCUUCUAGGGGUAAGACACCAAGACCCAUCAACUGGUCCUGCUAGAGAUAGAACACACGUUGAUGGGUCAGGCUCACAAGAAGAGUCAAGAGUCAUGGGUUUAGUGGUGGCUGGACCAAAAGCUAUUUUAGAUCAUAAUUAUAGCUUCAACAAAAAUCAAUAAGAGAAAAGAAAAAAAAAAUCAAGAGAGUAAAAACUAAAAUUAAAAAUAUCUUAAAAUAUUUUUUUAAAAAUAUAUUGAGAUAUUUUUUUAAUUUUUUAAAAUCUAUUUUAUAUAUAAUCACAUCAAAAUAAUAAUAAAAAAAUAUCUUAAUAUGAAUUAAGGAAAAUAUUAAUUUGAAGUGAAGAAAAAAAUAAAUAAUAAUAAUAAUUGAUUUUACCCUUAAAAUCAAAUCUAUGCUUUUUCCAUAGCAAUAAUAUUUAUUUUAAUUUCAAUAAUAUUAAUGAAUUUAAUAAUAUUUAUAAUAUUAAUAAUAAUAUUUAACUUAUCUGUCUAAUUUUUGUAUUUUUCAAUCUUUUAAAAACAAUUUAUGCUUUCUUCGAUCAUAGUAAUAAUUUUUUUUUUUAAUUUGGUAAUGGCAAUAACAAUAAUAAAAAAAGUGAUAAUAAUUCUUAAUUUUACCCUUCCAAUCAAAUAUUUUAUUAUUUUUCAAUAUUAAAAUUUUUUAUAUAAAUUUAUUUAUUAUUAUAUGAAUAAUAUUAAUUGUAAUACAAAUUAUAUUAUUUAUAAUAAAAAUAAUAGUAGGUUUAAUAUUAAUGAUAGUAAUUAUAAAAAAAUCAUAAUAUUUAUAUCAUAAAUAUUAAUAUUUUUCAUAGUAAUAAUUUUAAUUAUAAUAAAAAUAAUAAUAUUUAGAAUUUAAAUAAUAAUAAUAAUAUUUAUCAUAUUAAUAAUAGUAUUGAACUUGUCUGACCAAAGUUUUAAUCGUAAUAAGUGUUUGAAAAAACUUUAUUAACAAUAAUAAUAAUAAUUGAUAUUAUUUUUCAUUUUUCUUCUUUUCCCGCGCUAUACCGCGGACUCACCUUUUAUUUUAAUAAAAUAAUAUUAUAAAAAUCUAAGACCCAAAAGUAUUGGGUUUGGUUACAACGUCGAACCCAAGAGCAUUGAGUCUAGCUGCAACACCAAACCCUAUAAUAAUAUUUAUAAUAUUAGUAAUAAUAUUUAACUUGUCUUUCAAAAAAAAAUUUUAAUCUUUAAAAAAAUAGUAAUAAUAGUUUUUUAAAAUUUAAUAAUAAUAAUAAUUAAUAUAUUAUUAUUAUUAUUAACUUUACACUUCACAUCAAAUCUAUGGUUGUUUUUCAAUAUUGAUAAUAUUUGUUUUCAAAUUUAUUAAUUAUUUUAUUAAUAAUAUUAAUUAUGAUAAAAAAUAAUAAUAUCUAUAACACAAAUAAUACUAUUUUUAAUAUUAAUACUUUAAAUUAUAAUAAAAAUACUAAUAUUUAUGACAAUUUAGAUUAAUACUUUAAUUAUAAUAAAAAUAAUUAUAAUUAUAAUACAAAUGAUUAUAUUUAAAAACUUAUGACCCAAGAACCUUGAGUCAUAACGCAGGACUCAUUAAUCCUAGGUCCCGACACCACACCUAAGAGCUUUUGGUGCUGACACAACCCAAAAAAUUAGGUCCUGAUGCAGGACUUAAGAGAUUCGGUUCUGAUGAAGGAUCAAUAAUCUUUGGUCAAACGGGUCUGCAAAGACCUAAAGAAUUUAAGUAUGCGCCUAGCAACACCCAAGAUCCUUGGGUGAGGCACCCUUUCCUACCCCAAGUUUCUUAGGUUUGGAAAAGAAUGUUGGACUCAAGAGGAAAGAAAAAGAAAUGAAAAAGCAAUUAUUGGUGGAUCCUGCUAAGGGCAUGACCCAACAAUGAUGGAUCAUAUUAAGGACAUGACCCACAACUAAUGGGUUCAAUGGCGGCUGGACCCAAAGCUAUUUUGAAGUGAAGACCAAGCUUAAUAUAUUUCUCUUGAGUGUGGUUGCACAAUUAGACCCAAUCUCAAUAUAUUUAAAAAUAAAAUUAAAAAAAAUACAAAACAUAAAAAAUAUUAAUUUGAAGUAAAGAAAACAAUAAAAGAAUUUCAAAAAACUUUCAAUGUAUUUUUGGAAUGCAAAACCAAACAUGCUUUAAUAAGGAAAUUCAACCCAACCUGAAAUGAAAAAAAUAAUUAUCGUCACCUAACUUUUGUAUAAUAUAAAACAAAAUCACAUUAAUUUAUUUUCUCUUUACACUAUGAAAAAAAAAUCAAUAAGAGAAAAGAAAAAAAAAUUCAAGAGAGAAAAAAAUAAAAUUAGAAAUAUCUUAAAAUAUUUUUUAAAAAUUAUAUUGAGAUAAUAUUUUUUAUUGUUUUAAAUCCAUUUUUUAUAUAAUCACAUAAAAAAUAAUACAAAAUAUCUUAAUAUGAAUUAAAGGAAAAAAAUAUUAAUUUAAAGUUAAAAAAAUAAUCUUGUUAUAAAAUUUAUUAACAAUAACAAUAACAAUAACAAUAAUUGUUAUUACUUAUAUUUGUUUUUGUUUUUUUUUCAAAUCUGUUAUUUUUCUAUAUAGGUCUGUAGACCCAGCAACAUAGGUCUGCUACCCCUGGGGGAGUCUGCAGACUCCAGACUUGGCAUAACAAAACCCAGGCGUGCCUAGCCGCGUGGGUAUGCAACCUCUAACGGGGUCUGUAGAUCCCAAACAUGGCAAAAAAUACCCAGGGGCGGGUCUGUAUCCUGCUCCCAGUUAUGCACACCCAAGUGAGGGGUUCUGCAAACCUAGGCGAGACCCUAGAGGCGAGGGUCUGCAAUCGCGAGUAGGCUUGCAGACCCACUUGCCUGUGUCUACAGACAUGCACUUUGGUUCUACCACUCACGCUGGUCUGCACCCACCACCUGGGUAUGCAGCCCUUGCGCGCGGUUUAACAGACUUGCCCGCCUAGGUUUGCAACCUCUUGUCCGUGCCAGUCCCAACACCAUGUUUCUGCAACUUGGGGCCUGCGGUCCCACUUGACGCGCAGCCACCUAGGGCUUGGCAUCCCCAGCAUCAUGUCUGCAGCCUAGGGUUUGGAGUCCCACUUGGCAAGCGGGUACCCAAGGCUUUGCCAGCCCAGCAUCAAGUGUCUGUAGCCACACCAAAAUUAGAGCUAACCUAGGGGAGUGGAUCUGCAGCCUCAUUGUGCUCCCACCCACCAAGCAUUAUAAUUUAUAGUGAAAUCACUUAUAAUUCACAAUAACUCUUCUUAACUAGUGCAAUCCACAAAUAAAACGUUUUUAAUUCAUAAUUUCUUUCGUUGUAAUAAAAUACUGUUAAUAUUUUUAGUUAUAGUUAAUUGAUAACUUCAGCAGCAAGAUCAUUAAGUAAUACUCUAAAAGGCGUGGGAAAACUAUUGUAGCUUUCCGACGCCUUUUACUAAUAUAUUUACUUAUUAAUAUAUUAUAUAACUGUUAUUUUAUUUUAUUUUGUUUUUUGUUUUUUUAAUGAAUUUUUUUUAUUUGAUUUAGUUUGUUAAUGUUAAUUUUUUUUUAUUUAGUUAUCAGAUUUUCAUGAUACGGAUCCCGGAUUUGAUAGGUUAACCUAAUUUGACGAGUUAACCCGGAUUUUUUUUAAUUAUUUUUUUCAUUUAAUUUAGUUUGUUAAAGUUAAUUUUCUUUUUAUUUAAUUAUCAGACUUUCAUAACACGUAUCCUAGGCUUAACGGGUUAACUUGGUUUGAUGGGUUAACUCAGUUAAUUCUGGGUAAACCCAUCAUUUGUUUUUCUAUUUAGUUAUCAAACUUUCAUGACGUGAAUCCCAGGUUUUACGGGAUAACCUAAUUUAAAGGGUUAACCCAAUUAAUUCAUUUUUUUUUCUUUUUCUUCAUGUUGAUUUUUUUUCUUUGUUUUUUUUAAUUAAUCUAUUUAAUUAUUACACUUUUAUAACAAGACCUUAUAGCCAUACCCACAUCCAAUAUUUUUGGGUCCGUUGUUGCAGUCAUGCUCACUCAAACUUGGAUUAUACAAGUUUAAUGUUAUUAUUAAUAUUAUCAAUAUUACUCUUACGUCAGGCUUUGCAGCUAAACCCAAGAUUUUUGGAUAUAAUUUUGCAGAAAAACCUAAAAAUUUUAAAUUUUUAUUUUUUUUAUAUUUUUUAUAUAAAAAAAUAAACCGCGACAUCGCAAGGAUGAUAUACCUAGUAAUCUAUUAUUAGCGUAUAUCACGUGAGAAUAAUCUUCGUGCCCUUGGGCUGCAAGGCAAAUUAGGAUUUAUAUUCUCGUUCUGUCGUUUUCACUUUUUAUUUUUUUUGUUCUUGAAAUCAAUACACGUUAUUUUGGUGUUUCUGAAACAAUGAGACAAGAGAUGGGUUAUAAGUUUGUCAAGGAAAAACAAAAGGUCGACGUCAUUGGAAUCAAUAAAAUAAAUAAAGACAGGAAAGCAAUAAGGUUCAAGUUCAAACAGGAGCUAACAAAAGCCCUAUAAAUUCUUCACCAAUCGGGUCUCAUUUCCAUCAAAUUUCAUCGAUCCCAAGUUUGCUGAAGCAGCAGUUUCCAACCAAAAAACAAAAAUGGAAGAUUUUAUUUUCAGAGGGUUUCUGUCCUCUUCUUUACUUCUAUUUCUCUAUGUUGUGUUUAGAGUUGCUCACACGUUUUGGCUGAAACCGAAAAGCCAAGAGAAGCGUUUGAGGAAGCAAGGGAUCAGAGGCACUUCUUACAAGCUUUUGAAUGGUGAUAAGAAAGAGUUUGCAAGGUCUUCUAAAGAAGCUAGGUCCAGGCCCAUUGCUCUAAAUCAAGCAAUUGCACCACGUGUCCUUCCAUUCUUUUAUAAAAUGGUGCAAAUUUACGGUGAGCAGCAGCUUCACAAGCUAUCUCAUUUUUUCAGAUUUUUUUUAUUAUUUCUAGGAAUUUCUGUUCAUACAUGUAUUUGGUAAUCGGUAUUAUCCUGAUUUGUAAUGCGAACGAGAACAGGAAAGGUCUCCCUGUGUUGGAUGGGGACAAGACCUAGCCUGCUAUUAGCUGAUCCAGAGCUGGUGAGGUUGGUGUUAACAGACACGAGUGGUCACAUUAUAAAGCCACCGCAAAAUGCCCUUGUGGGUCUGUUACAGCGGGGAGUCUCAACCUUGGAAGGAGACGAAUGGGCCAAGCGCAGAAGGUUGAUGACACCUGCCUUCCACGCUGAGAGAUUAAGGGUAACUUCACCUACCUGAAUCUUGCAAGUUUAAACAUUCUUAAGAAAUUUUUACAGCUUGCAUUUGAAAAUUUAGAAUCUAUUUGGACUUCUUUACAUUUUAUCAAUUGACCAAUGUGCUGCAUAAGCAAAAAUUGAUCCAGAAAACAUUCAUGAAUGUCAGCAAAUGGCAAGAAGGAGUGAUAGAGAGUUAUAUAAAUUAUAUUUUGAAACCUGUGAUUGAGCUAUUGAAUUGAGAUAGUUCUAUAAUAUAACAUGGUAUUCUAUUGGAUUCAGUUGGUUUUUUGACAAGUUGAGGUGAUGGUACAGCUAUACACACCAAAACGUGUACUGUAGUCAAACUUGAGAUGGAGGCUUGAAAGAAUUCUUGAAUUAUCAUAAAGAAACUUUGCGGGAACUAGUAUAUCCAUUUAACUUGUAUACGUGUUUUAUAAGGAUUUUCGGAUUCCAGAUCUUUAGCCUUCAAUCACUAGCUUUUUAACUUUUGAAUUGAAUCAACGUUUGAUAUGGUAUUAGAGUCUAUAUGCUGAUUAGUGCUGGUUUGUGAACAGGGGAUGAUCCCAGCAUUUUCAGCCUGCUGUUGUGAUCUGGUUCAGCGAUGGAAGAAAUUAGCAGGUCCUCAGGGAUCAUGUGAAUUGGAUGUUGCAAGCGAAUUUAAUAUUCUUGCAAGUGAUGUUAUAGCUCGAGCAGCCUUUGGAAGCAGCUAUGAAGAGGGAAAGAAAAUAUUUGAUCUUCAAAAGGAUCAAGUUAUUUUGGCCCUUGAAGCUUUUUAUUCCAUUUACUUCCCUGGUUUGAGGUACAUAUUAAUGCCAUUUAUCUCUUGCAAAUUCAAGCUUCUCUCGGUGCUUGUUAAAAUUUUUAACCAAUGUCUGAUAAUACAUUAAAUCCCAGUUAACAACAUUUCAUUUCUUUGCGCUUCUCCAACAGAUUCAUACCCUCUAAAAAGAACAAGAAGAGAUACAGUAUAGACAAAGAGAUAAAAGCAGCAUUGAGAAAUAUUAUCCAUAAGAAGGAGCAGGCCAUGCAAAAUGGAGACUCAGGCGAUGCUGACUUGCUAGGCUUGCUUUUACAGGGCAGGGAUGAUGCUGAUAAUGACAUGAAAAUUGAAGAUGUAAUCGAGGAAUGCAAGUUGUUCUUCUUUGCAGGCCAAGAGACCACAGCAAACUUACUCACUUGGACAUUGAUAGUUCUAUCUAUGCAUCCAGUCUGGCAAGAGAAAGCAAGAGAAGAAGUUUUGCAGAUUUGUGGCAACAGAGCACCUGAUAUCGAUAGUAUAAAACAACUCAGAAUUGUAAGUACUUCUUUUGUUCACGCAUUAAUUUAUCAUGUUUUGUAAGCUACAGUCAACUCCUUGGAAACGAUUAUAAAUCCCUGGUUUAUGAAACUAAAUAAAUUUGCAGGUCUCAAUGAUCUUAAACGAGGUACUAAGACUAUAUCCACCUGUGAAUCUUCUGUAUCGACAUACUCUAAAGGAAACAAGCAUUCGAGGAAUGUCCAUUCCAGCUGGGUAGACCUCCUGUUACCAUUCCUGUUUCUUCACUAUGAUCCUGAGUAUUGGGGAGACAACGCAGAAGAAUUCAAACCAGAGAGAUUCUCUGAAGGAGUUUCGAAAGCAUCAAAGGAUGAAAUUGCAUUUUACCCUUUUGGUUGGGGCCCUAGAUUUUGUCUAGGCCAAAACUUUGCCUUGACUGAAGCAAAGAUGGCUCUUACUAUGAUUCUACAAAAUUUCUGGUUUGAGCUUUCACCCUCUUACACGCAUGCUCCUUGUAAUGUCAUAACUCUUCAACCACAACAUGGAGCUCCUAUUAUACUACACCAAUUAUAAGGUUUACAUAGUACUUUGGUGUCUUAGGAAGGGAAGCAACUCAGUUGAAUGAGUCACAGCAGGUUGUCCCAAUGUUUUGUUGUCAACCAGGAACAAGUUGGUGCAGUGGAGAGUGUUGUUUCUAUGCAUAAUGUUGCCAUCUGCUAUUGUAUUAAAGUGAUUAUUCCCUUUGCUUUCUUUUGGUUCUGAUGAUUGUUCAUAGUAUGUGCUUAUGAAAGCACCACCUAAUGGAGAAAGAUGCUUAUUUCCUUUAAUCUUUUAUUGUUCUCUGCUGCACUUUCUCAUCUUCCAUUGAAGGGAGAGAUUACAAGUAACUCCUGGAACUUGUCCUUUCUUUUUUGUACCCUGUAAAAUAGAUAGAUGCAUCUCAAAGAUUUGGCUUUUUAUAACUGACUUAUUAUCUGAAGACUCAAGAAAAAAAAAAAAAAAUUGGAGUUUUUUAUGGACCUUCACUGUUUAUCAGGUGCGCGAAGAACUCUGUUGUGGGUGUUCUAUGUUUUUUUUUUUUUUUUAGCCAUGAUGAUUGCAAUAAUUUAACCUCUUCAAGUUUUAAUUCUCUAAUUCUUUAACUUUUUAGAAUUGAUAUAAAUUAUAACAUAAAUAAUUAUAUUUAAAAAUUAAAAAUUAAAAAAUCUCGAGGUUUUAAGACUCACUAGUUUUAUGUCCUAUCAGAAUCCAAAAGAUUGGAACAAAACAAAAAACCAAUAGUAUUAGAUUAGGCAAGGCUAUAAACCCAAAGAAUUUGGGUUUGCAUCCUAGCCACAACUAAACUUUCUUGGACGUGUCUUUCUUUUCUUGUCUCAAGUUUCUUGAAUAAUGUUUGACACAAAAAAAAAUCAAAUUAUUGAUGGGUUUUUCUAGGGGCAAGACCUAUUAACUGGUCCUAUUAGAGAUAGAACCCACGUUACUGGGUCAUACUCGUAGUAAGAGCCAAGACUGAUGGGCUUAGUGGUGACUGAAUCCAAAGCUAUUUUGGAUUAUAUUUAUAGUUUCAACAAAAAUCAAUAAGAUAAAAGAAAAAAAAAUCAAGAGAGUAAAAAAAAAAUUAGAAUAUCUUAAAAUAUUUUAAAAAAAAUAGAUUGAGAUAAUUUUUUGUAAUUUUUUAAAUUCUAUUUUAUAUAUAAUCACAUCAAAAUAAUAAAUAAAAUAUCUUAAAAUAUUUUUUAAAAAUAGAUUGAGAUAAUUUUUUUUUAAUUUUUUAAAAUCUAUUUUAUAUAUAAUCACAUCAAAAUAAUAAAUAAAAUAUCUUAAUAUGAAUUAAGAAAAAUAUUAAUUUGAAGUGAAGAAAUAAUAAUAAUAAUAAUAAUAAUUUAUUUUACCCUUAAAAUCAAAUCUAUAUUUUUUUCUACAUCAAUAAUAUUUAUUUGAAUUUCAAUAAUAUUAAUGAAUUUAAUAAUAUUUAUAAUAGUAAUAAUAAUAUUUAACUUCUCUACCCAAUUUUUUAUAUUUUUCAAUCUUUGAAAAACAAUUUAUGCUUUCUUCGAUGAUAGUAAUAAUUUUUUUAAAAAAUCUGGUAAUGACAAUAACAAUAAUAAAAAAAAGUGAUAAUAAUUUUUAAUUUUACCCUUCAAAUCAAAUCUAUUAUUAUUUUUCAAUAUUAAAAAUAUUUUAUACAAAUUUAUUAAUUAUUAUAUGAAUACUAUUAAUUGUAAUACAAAUUAUAAUAUUUAUAAUAAAAAUAAUAGUAGGUUUAAUAUUAAUGAUAUUAAUUAUAAAAAAAUCAUAAUAUUUAUAUCACAAAUAAUAAUAUUUUUCAUACUAAUAAUAGUAAUAAUAUUUAUCAUAUUAAUAAUAGUAUUGAACUUGUUUGACCAAAGUUUUAAUAGUAAUAAGUGUUUUAAAAAAAAUUUAUUAACAAUAAUGAUAACAAUGAUAAUAAUAAUAAUUGAAAUAUUUUUUUUCAUUUUUUUUCUUUGCCCGCGCUACACUGCGGGCUUACCUUUUAUUUUAAUAAAAUAAUAUUAUAAAAAUCAAAGACCCAAAAGCGUUGGGUUUGGCUGCAACAGCAGACCCAAGAACAAUGAGUCUAGCUGCAAUGCCAUACCCAAUAAUAAUAUUUAACUUGCCUUCCAAAAUUUUUAUUUUUUAAAAUUUUAAAAAAAUUAUGGUUUUUCUUCGAUAGUAAUAAUAUAUUUUUAAAAAUAAUAAUAAUAAUAACAAUAUUUAAAACAAAAAUAAUUAUAUUUUUUAGAUUAAUACUUUAAUUAUAAUAAAAAAAUUAUAAUUAUAAUACAAAUAAUUAUAUUUAAAAACUUGGGACCCAAGAACCUUGAGUCCUGAUGCAGGACCCGUUAGCCUUGGGUCUCUGCGCCAGACCCAAGAGCUUUUGGUCCUGACAUAGCCUAAAAAAUUAGGCUCUGAUGUAGGACUUAAGAGAUUCGGGUCUGACGAAGGAUCAAUAAUCUUGGGUCAAGCAUGUUUGCAAAAUCUAAGGGAUUUAAUUUUGCGCCUAGCAACACCUUAGAUCCUUAGGUGAUGCACCCUUUCUUACCCGAGUUUCUUAGGUUUGGAAAAAAAAACUAGACUCAAGAGGAAAGAAAAAAAAAUUAUUGGUAGGUCCUGCUAAGGGCACGACCCAACACUAAUGGAUCAUGUUAAAGACAGGACCCAUGGCUAAUGGGUCCAGUAGCUAUUUUGAAGUAAAGACCAAACUUAAUUUAUUUUUCUUGGGUGUGGUUGCACAACUACACCCAAUCUCAAUAUAUUUAAAAAAAUUAAAAAAAAUACAAAAUAUAAAAAUAUUAAUUUGAAAUAAAGAAAAUAAUAAAAGAAUUUCAAAAAACUUUCAAUGUAUUUUUGAAACGCAAAACCAAACAUCCUUUAAUAAGGAAACUCGACCCAACCUGAAAUAAAAAACAAUUAUCAUAACCUAACUUUUUUAUUCCUGUUGAUUUUUUUUCUUUGCUUUUUUUGUUAAUUAAUCUAAUUAAUUAUUGCACUUUUAUGACACGACCUUAUAGCCAGACCCAUAUCUAAUAUUCUUGGGUCCGGUGUUACGGCUAUACUCACUUAAACUUGGGUCAUACAAGUUUUAAUGUUAUUAUUAAUAUUAUAAAUAUUACUUUUACGUCAGAUGUUACAGCCAAACCCAAUAUUUUUUUGUAUAAUUUUGCAAAAAUACUUAAAAUUUUUAUAUUUUUUUAUAUUUUUUAUACAAAAACAUAACCUACGGCAUCAAGCAGGUCAUGUAAGUAAUAAUUUAUUAUUAGCUGAUAUCACGUGAGAAUAAUCUUCGUGCCCUUGGGAUGCAAGGCAAAUUAGGAUUUAUAUUCUCGUUCUGUCGUUUUCACUUUUUUUUUUUUUUUUGUUCUUGAAAUCAACACACGUUAUUUUGGUGUUUGUGAAACAAUGGGACAAGAGAUGGGUUACAAGUUUGUCAAGGAAAAAUAAAAGGUAGACGUCAUUGGAAUCAAUAAAAUAAGAAAUAGUUUGGCAAUGGAGUUGAAAUCAUGUUUUUAUAAAAUUAAUUUUUUUUAUUAAAAUUUAAUAUGAUCGGUAUAUUUUGGAUCGUUUUGAUGUGUUAAUAUUAAAAAUAAUUUUUUUAAAAAAAAUUAUUAAUAUAUAUUUCAAUAUAAAAAAUUAUUUAAAAAAUAAUCACUAUUAUAUUACCAAAUAUACUAUAAAUUAAAAAAGGAAAGCAAUAAGAUCCAAGUUCAAACACGAGCUAACAAAAGCCCUAUAAAUUCUUCACCAAUCGGGUCUCAUUUCCAUCAAAUUUCAUCGAUCCCAAUGAGACAAGAGAUGGAUUUAUAUUCUCGUUCUGUCGUUUUCACUUUUUAUUUUUAUUUUUCUUGAAAUCAACAAUUUUGCUGUUUGUGAAACAAUGAGAGAUGGGUUAUAAGUUUGUCAAGGAAAAACAAAAGGUCGACGUCAUUGAAAUUAAUAAAAUAAUUAAUGUUUGGAAAGUUGAAAUUAUAUUUUUAUAAAAUUUUAAAUUUUUUUUUAUUAAAAUUUAAUGUGAUUUAUAUGUUUUAGAUCGUUUUAAUAUACUGAUAUCAAAAAUAAUUUUUAAAAAAUAAAAAUAAUUAUUGAUAUAUAUUUUAAUAUAAAAAAUUAUUUAAAAAACAACAACAACCAUACUACUAAAUAUACUCUAAAUAAAAAAAGAAAAGCAAUAAGUCCAAGUUCAAACAGGAGCUAACAAAAGCCCUAUAAAUUCUUCACCAAUCGGGUCUCAUUUCCAUCAAAUUUCAUCGAUCCCAAGUUUGCGGAAGCAGCAGUUUCCAACCAAAAAACAAAAAUGGAAGAUUUUAUUUUCAGAGGGUUUCUGUCCUCUUCUUUACUUCUAUCUCUCUAUGUUGUGUUUAGAGUUGCUCAAACUUUUUGGCUGAAGCCGAAAAGCCAAGAGAAGCGUUUGAAGAAGCAAGGGAUCAGAGGCACUUCUUACAAGCUUUUGAAUGGUGAUAAGAAAGAGUUUGCAAGGUCUUCUAAAGAAGCUAGGUCCAGGCCCAUUGCUCUAAAUCAAGAAAUUGCACCACGUGUCCUUCCAUUCUUUUAUAAAAUGGUGCAAAUUUACGGUGAGCAGCAGCUUCACAAGCUAUCUCGUUUUUUCAGAUUUUUUAAUUAUUUCUAGGAAUUCUGUUCAUUCAUAUAUUUGGUAAUCGGUAUUAUCCUGAUUUGUAAUGCGAACGAGAACAGGAAAGGUCUCCCUGUGUUGGAUGGGGACAAGACCUAGCCUGCUAUUAGCUGAUCCAGAGCUGGUGAGGUUGGUGUUAACAGACACGAGUGGUCACAUUAUAAAGCCACCGCGAAAUGCCCUUGUGGGUCUAUUACAGCUGGGAGUCUCAACCUUGGAAGGAGACAAAUGGGCCAAGCGCAGAAGGUUGAUGACACCUGCCUUCCACGCUGAGAGAUUAAGGGUAACUUCACCUACCUGAAUCUUGCAAGUUUAAACAUUCUUAAGAAAUUUUUACAGCUUGCAUUUGAAAAUUUAGAAUCUAUUUGGACUUCUUUACAUUUUAUCAAUUGACCAAUGUGCUGCAUAAGCAAAAAUUGAUCCAGAAAACAUUCAUGAAUGUCAGCAAAUGGCAAGAAGGAGUGAUAGAGAGUUAUAUAAAUUAUAUUUUGAAACCUGUGAUUGAGCUAUUGAAUUGAGAUAGUUCUAUAAUAUAACAUGGUAUUCUAUUGGAUUCAGAUGGUUUUUUGACAAGUUGAGGUGAUGGUACAGCUAUACACACCAAAACGUGUACUGUAGUCAAACUUGAGAUGGAGGCUUGAAAGAAUUCUUGAAUUAUCAUAAAGAAACUUUGCGGGAACUAGUAUAGCCAUUUAACUUGUAUACAUGUUUUAUAAGGAUUUUCGGGUUCCAGAUCUUUAGCCUUCAAUCACUAGCUUUUUAACUUUUGAAUUGAAUCAACGGUUGAUAUGGUAUAAGAGUCUAUAUACUGAUUAGUCCUGGUAUGUGAACAGGGGAUGAUCCCAGCAUUUUCAGCCUGCUGUUGUGAUCUGGUUCAGCGAUGGAAGAAAUUAGCAGGUCCUCAGGGAUCAUGUGAAUUGGAUGUUGCAAGCGAAUUUAAUAUUCUUGCAAGUGAUGUUAUAGCUCGAGCAGCCUUUGGAAGCAGCUAUGAAGAGGGAAAGAAAAUAUUUGAUCUUCAAAAAGAUCAAGUUAUUUUGGUCCUUGAAGCUUUUUAUUCCAUUUACUUCCCUGGUUUGGGGUACAUAUUAAUGCCAUUUAUCUCUUGCAAAUUCAAGCUUCUCUUGGUGCUUGUUAAAAUUUUUAACCAAUGUCUGAUAAUACAUUAAAUCCCAGUUAAGAACAUUUCAUUUCUUUGCGCUUCUCCAACAGAUUCAUACCCUCUAAAAAGAACAAGAAGAGAUACAGUAUAGACAGAGAGAUAAAAGCAGCAUUGAGAAAUAUUAUCCAUAAGAAGGAGCGGGCCAUGCAAAAUGGAGACUCAGGCGAUGCUGACUUGCUAGGCUUGCUUUUACAGGGCAGGGAUGAUGCUGAUAAUGACAUGAAAAUUGAAGAUGUAAUCGAGGAAUGCAAGUUGUUCUUCUUUGCAGGCCAAGAGACCACAGCAAACUUACUCACUUGGACAUUGAUAGUUCUAUCUAUUCAUCCUGUCUGGCAAGAGAAAGCAAGAGAAGAAGUUUUGCAGAUUUGUGGCAAGAGAACACCUGAUAUCGAUAGUAUAAAACAACUCAGAAUUGUAAGUACUUCUUUUGUUCACGCAUUAAUUUACUAUGUUUAGUGAGCUACAGUCAACUCCUUGGAAACGAUUAUAAAUCCUUGGUUUAUGACACUAAAUAAAUUUGCAGGUCUCAAUGAUCUUAAACGAGGUACUAAGACUAUAUCCACCUGUGAAUCUUCUGUAUCGACAUACUCUAAAGGAAACAAGCAUUCGAGGAAUGUCCAUUCCAGCUGGGGUAGACCUCCUGUUACCAUUCCUGUUUAUUCACUAUGAUCCUGAGUAUUGGGGAGACAACGCAGAAGAAUUCAAACCAGAGAGAUUCUCUGAAGGAGUUUCAAAAGCAUCAAAGGAUGAAAUUGCAUUUUACCCUUUUGGCUGGGGCCCUAGAUUUUGUCUAGGCCAAAACUUUGCCUUGACUGAAGCAAAGAUGGCUCUUACUAUGAUUCUACAAAAUUUCUGGUUUGAGCUUUCACCCUCUUACACGCAUGCUCCUUUUAAUGUCAUAACUCUUCAACCACAACAUGGAGCUCCUAUUAUACUACACCAAUUAUAAGGUUUACAUAGUAGUUUAGUAUCUUAUGAAGGGAAGCAACUCAGUUGAAUGAGUCACAGCAGGUUGUCCCAAUGUUUUGUUGUCAACCAGGAACAAGUUG